GACGUGACCAUGUGCGAAUUUAAUGAACCUGGGACGCUCGCUGCGAUCGGGGUCUACCUCGGUGGCACCAAGCACGCGGUGAUUGGAGGUGAACCAGGUGCUGUUAUUCGGGUGAACCGGUUACUCGGGCAAAGAAGGAUCCAAGAAGAAGAUGGAGUGGGAAGUUUACUAUGAAGAUUACUUGAUGUUCAAGACGAAGAGCAUGAAUGAAGACGGCACGUAUCGAGCCGCUGCCAUCAUCGACCACGACGGGAAAGUUUGGACCCAGACCUCCAAUUUCCCCCAGGCUCGUCCUCUGCUCAUCAUCAUCUUCCAUCUUCUUCAAUUUCGAUUCUUGCUGCCUGUGGUAUCCAGUCGUGAAUUCUCUUAUUGCGGUGGACGAGUAAUUAGUCACUCCCCACGUUAAUCUCGGUUCCCAGUUCUGGUUUUCUUUUAUCAUGAACAUGGCGUGACUUACAGCGCCCAUUCCUGUGAGCGAUUUGAUCAAACAGGGGAAAUGCAACAUUUGAUCACUUGCGAAACCAUGAUUGCUCUUCUUUCGCUUGAUAGAACCUCUUUGUUAUUUGUUGGAUGCAUGUAAACGAUUUGAUAAUAAGGGGUAAAUUCAAAUUGGACGGUAUUCGGAAUUAUGAUUCCAGGCCAGGAUUUUCCUGUUCUGCAGCUUACGACUGAAGAGAGAAUCACCAUCAUGCGUGAAUUUGAUGAACCCGGUACGCUCACUACCAUCGGACUCUACCUUGGUGGCACCAAGUACGUGGUGACCGGAGUCAAACCUGGUGAUGUUAUUCGGGCAUAUAAGCGGCCUCAAUAUGUGACCAUCAAGAAAACGGGUGCGGCCUUGGUCAUUGGCAUCUAUGGCAACCUUGCGACUUCCAGAUUGUGCAACGUGAUUGUUGAGAGGGUGGGUGACGACUUAAUCAAGCGGGGCUAUUAGGC